AGUCACUGACAUUAGAUACCCGGGUAGUCCAGGGUGUAAACGCUGCAGACUUGGUGUUGGAAGUCCUUUGGGGGCAUUCAGUGCCGGAGAGAAGUUGUUAAGUCUGCUACUUGGGGAGUACGUCCGCAAGGAUGAAACUUAAAGGAAUUGGCGGGGAGCACCGCAACGGGAGGAGCGUGCGGUUUAAUUGGAUUCAACACCGUAAAACUCACCAGGGAAGACUGUUACAUGAAAGCCGAGAUGAAGACUCUGCUAGAUUUUCAG
rnacentral:rRNA from 1 species